rnacentral:rRNA from 1 species
AAUUCGAUUAGUUUGAUCAUGGCUCAGGACGAACGCUGGCGGCGUGCUUAACACAUGCAAGUGGAGCGACGAACCAGGCUUCGGCCUGGGGCAAAGCCGCGAACGGGUGAGUAACACGUGGGUAACCUGCCCCAAUGACCGGGACAACUCGGGGAAACUCGAGCUAAUACCGGAUGUGCCUUCUUCACAUCAGUGAAGAAUGGAAAGGAAGCUUCGGCCUCCGCGUUGGGAUGGGCCCGCGGCCCAUUAGCUUGUUGGUGAGGUAACGGCUUACCAAGGCUUCGAUGGGUAGCUGGUCUGAGAGGACGAUCAGCCACACUGGGACUGAGACACGGCCCAGACUCCUACGGGAGGCAGCAGUGGGGAAUCUUGCGCAAUGCGCGAAAGCGUGACGCAGCAACGCCGCGUGGGGGAAGACGGCCUUCGGGUUGUAAACCCCUUUCAGGAGGGACGAAGCCAAGACGGUGAAUAGCCGAUUUUGGUGACGGUACCUCCAGAAGAAGCCCCGGCUAACUACGUGCCAGCAGCCGCGGUAAUACGUAGGGGGCAAGCGUUGUCCGGAAUCAUUGGGCGUAAAGAGCGUGUAGGCGGUCCGAUAAGUCGGCUGUGAAAGUCAAGGGCUCAACCCUUGAAUGCCGGCCGAUACUGUCGGGCUAGAGUCCGGAAGAGGCGAGUGGAAUUCCUGGUGUAGCG